UCAAACUUGGUCAUUUAGAGGAAGUAAAAGUCGUAACAAGGUUUCCGUAGGUGAACCUGCGGAAGGAUCAUUAUCGUACCGAUGCGUAUGUUUUUGCGGAGUUCUUUAUUCUGUCGUGAUGCGGUGGAAAGAGGAGGCGCAGGGCCUGGGCACGAUGCGGUGUCUUAUCUUGCCCGGCCGGCCUACCAUUGCGUGUAACGUAACAAACGAAUGCGGAGAAAAGAGCGGCGGUGGCGCUCGCAACAAAUAUUACCUUGAGCGGUGGAUCACUUGGCUCGUGGGUCGAUGAAGAACGCAGC
rnacentral:misc_RNA from 1 species